ensembl:snoRNA
AUUCUUUUCCGUUCAUAAGUGUGCUGACUGGGGGUUCACGCUGUUGUGAGGUGUGCCUCCCUCUAAAACCUUCUUAUGUCAUUGGCACAUUACCCAUCUGAUG